AAAUUGAAGAGUUUGAUCAUGGCUCAGAUUGAACGCUGGCGGCAGGCCUAACACAUGCAAGUCGAACGGUAACAGAAAGCAGCUUGCUGCUUUGCUGACGAGUGGCGGACGGGUGAGUAAUGUCUGGGAAACUGCCUGAUGGAGGGGGAUAACUACUGGAAACGGUAGCUAAUACCGCAUAACGUCGCAAGACCAAAGAGGGGGACCUUCGGGCCUCUUGCCAUCGGAUGUGCCCAGAUGGGAUUAGCUUGUUGGUGGGGUAACGGCUCACCAAGGCGACGAUCCCUAGCUGGUCUGAGAGGAUGACCAGCCACACUGGAACUGAGACACGGUCCAGACUCCUACGGGAGGCAGCAGUGGGGAAUAUUGCACAAUGGGCGCAAGCCUGAUGCAGCCAUGCCGCGUGUAUGAAGAAGGCCUUCGGGUUGUAAAGUACUUUCAGCGGGGAGGAAGGGAGUAAAGUUAAUACCUUUGCUCAUUGACGUUACCCGCAGAAGAAGCACCGGCUAACUCCGUGCCAGCAGCCGCGGUAAUACGGAGGGUGCAAGCGUUAAUCGGAAUUACUGGGCGUAAAGCGCACGCAGGCGGUUUGUUAAGUCAGAUGUGAAAUCCCCGGGCUCAACCUGGGAACUGCAUCUGAUACUGGCAAGCUUGAGUCUCGUAGAGGGGGGUAGAAUUCCAGGUGUAGCGGUGAAAUGCGUAGAGAUCUGGAGGAAUACCGGUGGCGAAGGCGGCCCCCUGGACGAAGACUGACGCUCAGGUGCGAAAGCGUGGGGAGCAAACAGGAUUAGAUACCCUGGUAGUCCACGCCGUAAACGAUGUCGACUUGGAGGUUGUGCCCUUGAGGCGUGGCUUCCGGAGCUAACGCGUUAAGUCGACCGCCUGGGGAGUACGGCCGCAAGGUUAAAACUCAAAUGAAUUGACGGGGGCCCGCACAAGCGGUGGAGCAUGUGGUUUAAUUCGAUGCAACGCGAAGAACCUUACCUGGUCUUGACAUCCACAGAACUUUCCAGAGAUGGAUUGGUGCCUUCGGGAACUGUGAGACAGGUGCUGCAUGGCUGUCGUCAGCUCGUGUUGUGAAAUGUUGGGUUAAGUCCCGCAACGAGCGCAACCCUUAUCCUUUGUUGCCAGCGGUCCGGCCGGGAACUCAAAGGAGACUGCCAGUGAUAAACUGGAGGAAGGUGGGGAUGACGUCAAGUCAUCAUGGCCCUUACGACCAGGGCUACACACGUGCUACAAUGGCGCAUACAAAGAGAAGCGACCUCGCGAGAGCAAGCGGAUCUCAUAAAGUGCGUCGUAGUCCGGAUUGGAGUCUGCAACUCGACUCCAUGAAGUCGGAAUCGCUAGUAAUCGUGGAUCAGAAUGCCACGGUGAAUACGUUCCCGGGCCUUGUACACACCGCCCGUCACACCAUGGGAGUGGGUUGCAAAAGAAGUAGGUAGCUUAACCUUCGGGAGGGCGCUUACCACUUUGUGAUUCAUGACUGGGGUGAAGUCGUAACAAGGUAACCGUAGGGGAACCUGCGGUUGGAUCACCUCCUUACCUUAAAGAAGC
rnacentral:rRNA from 1 species